UUGCCCAUUCGAGACUGACUAUGUUUUGAGUGGCCAUUAUGGAGGGGUAUAUCAAUGUUCUCUCAAAAACCUGGGUCAGGGGUUUCACCCCUGCCUUCGGACAUGUUGGGAGGAACAUCU